rnacentral:lncRNA from 1 species
AGCAACCCCCUGGGGUCCCCUUCCACACUGUGGAAGCUUUGUUCUUUCGCUCUUUGCAAUACUUGCUGCUGCUCACUCUCUUUUGGUCCACACUGCCUUUAUGAGCUGUAACACUCACCGGGAACGUCUGCAGCUUCACUCCUGAAGUCAGCGAGACCACGAACCCACUGGAAGGAAGGAACAACUCCAGACGCGCCACCUUAAGAGCUGUAACACUCACCGCGAAGGUCUGCAGCUUCACUCCUGAAGCCAGCGAGACCACGAACCCACAGGGAGGAACGAACAACUCCAGACGCGCCGCCUUAAGAGCUGUAACACUCACCGCGAAGGUCCGCAGCUUCGCUCCUGAGCCAGCAAGACCACGAACCCACCAAAAGGAAGAAACUCCAAACAGAUCUGAACAUCAGAAGGAACAAACUCCGGACACGCCACCUUUAAGAACUGUAACACUCACCUUGAGGGUCGGCAGCUUCAUUCUUGAAGUCAGUGAGACCAAGAACCCACCAAUUCCGGACACAGGGAGCUAGCCACUCCGUGGUUUCUGCUCUGCUGAGAACUGAGCAGACUUUGGGACUACCAGCUCCAGAGAGGAGCUACCCACUGCAGAGUUCCUCCAGGCUGUUCAUUUUUCCUCCCCUGUCCUCUCUUUGCAGAUGGGUAAUCAUGUCUCUGCACCACGGGACACUCCCCUCUGAGGCAUAAAAGUUUAAUUUUUGGCCUGGCACGGUGGCUUAUGCCUGUAAUCCCAGCACUUUGAGAGGCCGAGGCGGGCGGAUCACCUGAGGUCAGUAGUUCGAGACCAGCUUAGCCAACAUAGUGAAACCCAGUCUCUACUAAAAAUACAAAAAUUAGCUGGGCAUGGUGGCACGGGCCUGUAAUGCCAGCUACUCGGGAGGCUGAGGCAAGAGAAUCGCUUGAACCCAGGAGGCGGAGGUUACAGUGAGCCGAGAUCGCGCCACUGCACUCCAGCCUGGGUGCAGUGAGACUGCGGCUCAAAAAAAAAGAAUUCUUACCAGUUGAACCUCUGGCUUCUUUCUCUCUGUCUGUGAAAACAUGGUUGUAGAUUCUCUCUCCUCCAUGACUCCAUGACUUCCCUUUUACUGGGAACCUAUGCAUAGGACUCUGAGAGAGAUCUGUCAUUUUCCCCAAAACCAGGCCCCCUGUCAGCAUGAAGCAGUUAGAUAUACCUCUUCAGAGAUGUGAUUGAUGGCAGCGGCAGCCCAUCUGGACCAGCCACUGCCGUGACGCCAUCAGUGUGAGACGUGUAGCUAGGGCUGUGCACUCCACAGAGCUGGUGGGAGCUGGGAAUAGGUGAAAACCCUGCCUCCUUGUGAGUUGGCAGGACGGGAGCCUCCUGUUCCCUGGCUGCUGUUGUGGCCACCGAGCCGCAGCCCUGGAGCCAGGCAUCCCUGUGCUUGGGGAUCAGAGCGAGCAGGAGCAGAUCCUCUCCCUUCUGGGUGCAGCUGCAGCUGCCCAGCCAUGGCUGUGGUCCCGGAAGUCUCUGUGCUCUUGGGAGCUGGGAGGGCCCUCUGCCUCCUGCCCCUUACGCACUCCAGAGUCUCCUCUCUGUUGAGAGCUAAGCAGACAUCAGGACUACCAGCUGCAGAGAGGAGCUACCCACUGUGGGCUUCGUCUCUGCUGAGAGCUGAACACUCACUGGGACGCCCUGCCUAUGGAAACCAGCUGUUCACUCUGGGUCUCCUCUGAGCUGUUCUGUCGCUCAGUAAAGGUCUUCUUCUGCUUACUCGCCCUCCAUUUGUCUGCCUUACCUCAUUCAUCCUGGACACAGGACAAGAACUUGGGACUUGCCGGUAUGGUGGAGCUAAAAUAGCUGUAACACAAACAGGAUUGAAACAUGCCCCUUGCUCGCCACAUUGUGGAUGACAAGAGGGAGGGAAGAAAGGAGAGAAGAUCUGCGACCCUUCGGCAAACCCAGACUUAGGAGAUCGGAGAGCCAAGACUGUGACACCCUUUCUGGGGCUCUGUGGUUCCUGGCGUCUCCAAGCUUCUGGGCACCUCGGCUUUCCCCGGUGCCAGUCGUGGAAGCUGCUUGUGAGUCUUGCUUUGUCACCCAGGCUGGAGUACAGUGGCGUGAUCACAGCUUACUGAAACGUCUGCGUCUCAGGUUCAAGCGAUUUUUCUGCCUCAGCCUCUGGUGUAGCUGGAAUUAUAGUGUUAGCAGUCACUGAUGCUCAAACGUUAUUAUAAUAUGAAACUCGAAUCUAUGUUUAGCAAACGGAAAAAAAGAACAUUUAAAUCUAAUGAAGAUCAAGAACAAUAAUCUUAGGUUAUGCAGACCUCCUUGAUGGCAUCCAGAAGUCUGAUCAGAGGAGGGAUGGACACAGCUUUGACUAGGAGAUCUCACCUCCCGCAUACCGACCUUACUCAUAAAAGCUUCUGGUUAUGUUCAAAGGCAAGUCGGAUUUGAGAAUUUGCCUCUCGCACUCUCUCAUUUUGGCCAAAUCAAAUAAUGCCUUUCUCUCUUCCUAAGCGCUGAUGUAUCAGUGUUUGGCUUAUUGUGCAUUGGGUACUCAAACUUAAAUUUGGGGGUUUUGUAACAAUUUCACUCUUCUGCAAUCAAUUGAAAUAAAUUUUCUCCUUUGAUUUCUGUUUGUUCUUUCACUCACCUGCAAUGAUUCUACCAGAAAUGUUUUAAUCAGUAAAGAUAUAGCUUGAAUUUUUAUACUUAACCCAAAUUUACAUGUCAAAAUAAAAAAUGAAAACAAUAAAAAAAACUAUGCAUGCCUCUCCAUCUACACAUUAAUGGCAAAAGUGCAAGAUAUAGAAAGCAUGGCUUGAGUGCUGUGUGUGUACUGAUUAUUUCAUACAUAUGUACUCUUUAAACUUUAUCUAUGUAGAGAAAUAAAUUCUAAGAUUACUGCUCUUUCUCAAAUAAUAAAAAGCUCAAGAACUGCUAAUCACAGGAAUAAAAAAAUCCCUAUAUAAUAUUUCAUUAGUGAUAUUUUCAGCCCGAGUGCUUCUAUUACCUAUAUUUUUUGGUAAGUAUAUUUUUAUAUAGUUAUUUACGGAAUAUCUGAUUUACUAUAAUAAUAAAUUUGUGUUAACAAAAAGUUUAAAUAUUGAAUGCAUUAAAUAAAAUCUAGUUACUUGUCUAGGAAAUUUUCAAAGCAAAACUUACUCAAAUAUUAGUUGACAUUGUGAAAAUAGUUCUGAACAUAAUGUCUCAGACAUAACAUAAAACUUUUUAAAUGAAAGCGAGAAUUUAUGUCUAACAUGUAAAAUAAAUUGUGUCAGUAUUAGAAUAGUAUUUUGACCUUGAACAGAAAUAUAUCUGUAAUAAUCAUCACUAUGUUGCCAAAAUGAGAGAAAAUAACACUAUAUAAAUACUUAAUCAAACAGUGCUUUAUCUUUUCAUCUAAUAAUAUAGAUAUACCCCUAAAAUUUACCAUUCUAAGAAUGUGUACAUGAUGUAUUACUAGCCAUAUAAAAAUAAUUGUGGUGGGCAUUUUUGAGGGGUCGUUUUAGAACUUUUCAAAAUUCCCCUGAGAAUAUUUUGUUAGAAUAGGUGCCAUAUAUUUUUAGAAUCUUGAUUUGGGAGCAAUUUCAAUAUAAGUAUUUCUAGUUAUUUAAAACGAAUAAUUUUAAAAAGAACAGCAGUAAGGCAAGAAAUAAAAGGUUAAAAACUUUUAGAUUUUUAUUUAAGACAGUUAAUGUACAUUACAGUCACAUAGCACGUAAUGAAGUUUCAGUCAAUAAUCCACUGCAUAUAGGAUGGUGGUUCCAUAAGAUUGUAAUGGAGCUGUAAAAUUUCUGCCCUCUAGUGAUGCUGUAGCCAUCACAACUUCAUAGGACGACACAUUACUUACAUGUUUGUGGUGAUGCUGGUGUAAAUGAACCUACCUUCAUAAAUGUAUAGCACAUAUAAUUAUGUAUAGUAUGUAAUACUUAAUAAUGAUUAUAAACUACCAUGUUACUGGUUUAUGUAUUUACUCUACUAUACUUUUAUAGUUAUUUUAGGUAUUCCUUCUACUUAAAAAAUAAAAAUAAAGUUAAGUGUAAAAGAUCCUCAGGCUGGUUCCUUAGGGAGAUAUUCCAGAAGAAAGCAUUGUUAUCAUAGGAGAUGACAGCUCCACACAUGUUGUCCAACAUGACCUUUCAGUGGGCAAGAUGUGGAGGUUGAAGACAAUGAUAUUGAUGAUCCCGAUUCUGUGUAGGCCCAGUCUAACAUGUGUGUUUGUGUUUUCAUUUUUAACAAAAUGUUUUAAAAGUAAAGAAAAUAACAAUUAAAAUUGAGGCGGGUGGAUCAUCUGAGGUCAGGAGUUUGAGAGCAGCCUGGCCAACAUGGCAAAACCUCGUCUCUACUAAAAAUACAAAAAAAAAAAAAAAAAAAAAAAUUAGCCAGGUGUGGUGGCAUGCACCUAUAGUCCCAGCUACUCAUGAGACUGAGGCAGGAGAAUCACUUCAAUCCAGGAGGAUGAGGUUGCAGUGAGCCGAGGUCCACCAUUGCACUCCAGCCAGGCUAACGAGCUAAACUACAUCAAA